GAUGAACGCUGGCGGCGUGCCUAAUACAUGCAAGUCGAGCGAACGGACGAGAAGCUUGCUUCUCUGAUGUUAGCGGCGGACGGGUGAGUAACACGUGGAUAACCUACCUAUAAGACUGGGAUAACUUCGGGAAACCGGAGCUAAUACCGGAUAAUAUUUUGAACCGCAUGGUUCAAAAGUGAAAGACGGUCUUGCUGUCACUUAUAGAUGGAUCCGCGCUGCAUUAGCUAGUUGGUAAGGUAACGGCUUACCAAGGCAACGAUGCAUAGCCGACCUGAGAGGGUGAUCGGCCACACUGGAACUGAGACACGGUCCAGACUCCUACGGGAGGCAGCAGUAGGGAAUCUUCCGCAAUGGGCGAAAGCCUGACGGAGCAACGCCGCGUGAGUGAUGAAGGUCUUCGGAUCGUAAAACUCUGUUAUUAGGGAAGAACAUAUGUGUAAGUAACUGUGCACAUCUUGACGGUACCUAAUCAGAAAGCCACGGCUAACUACGUGCCAGCAGCCGCGGUAAUACGUAGGUGGCAAGCGUUAUCCGGAAUUAUUGGGCGUAAAGCGCGCGUAGGCGGUUUUUUAAGUCUGAUGUGAAAGCCCACGGCUCAACCGUGGAGGGUCAUUGGAAACUGGAAAACUUGAGUGCAGAAGAGGAAAGUGGAAUUCCAUGUGUAGCGGUGAAAUGCGCAGAGAUAUGGAGGAACACCAGUGGCGAAGGCGACUUUCUGGUCUGUAACUGACGCUGAUGUGCGAAAGCGUGGGGAUCAAACAGGAUUAGAUACCCUGGUAGUCCACGCCGUAAACGAUGAGUGCUAAGUGUUAGGGGGUUUCCGCCCCUUAGUGCUGCAGCUAACGCAUUAGGCACUCCGCCUGGGGAGUACGACCGCAAGGUUGAAACUCAAAGGAAUUGACGGGGACCCGCACAAGCGGUGGAGCAUGUGGUUUAAUUCGAAGCAACGCGAAGAACCUUACCAAAUCUUGACAUCCUUUGACAACUCUAGAGAUAGAGCCUUCCCCUUCGGGGGACAAAGUGACAGGUGGUGCAUGGUUGUCGUCAGCUCGUGUCGUGAGAUGUUGGGUUAAGUCCCGCAACGAGCGCAACCCUUAAGCUUAGUUGCCAUCAUUAAGUUGGGCACUCUAAGUUGACUGCCGGUGACAAACCGGAGGAAGGUGGGGAUGACGUCAAAUCACCAUGCCCCUUAUGAUUUGGGCUACACACGUGCUACAAUGGACAAUACAAAGGGCAGCGAAACCGCGAGGUCAAGCAAAUCCCAUAAAGUUGUUCUCAGUUCGGAUUGUAGUCUGCAACUCGACUACAUGAAGCUGGAAUCGCUAGUAAUCGUAGAUCAGCAUGCUACGGUGAAUACGUUCCCGGGUCU
rnacentral:rRNA from 1 species